GGAAUCCGUUAAAUUUUCAGAAAAUGAAAAGAAACAACCCAAUAUUAAGUCUGGUAAAGCCAAGGAUGCAUUUGUGCCACCCAAAUCUCCAAUCGGGUCAUCUCAAAAGAUCGAAAGCACAGGCGUGAAUCAACCUAUAGACCCUUUAACUCAACAAAAACGCCAGAUAUCUAGUAAUGCUACCGAAAAAACUUCAUUAGAAAAUGC
rnacentral:misc_RNA from 1 species